rnacentral:rRNA from 1 species
UGCAGUCGAACGCUUUUUCUUUCACCGGAGCUUGCUCCACCGAAAGAAAAGGAGUGGCGAACGGGUGAGUAACACGUGGGUAACCUGCCCAUCAGAAGGGGAUAACACUUGGAAACAGGUGCUAAUACCGUAUAACAAUAGAAACCGCAUGGUUUCUAUUUGAAAGGCGCUUUUGCGUCACUGAUGGAUGGACCCGCGGUGCAUUAGCUAGUUGGUGAGGUAACGGCUCACCAAGGCAACGAUGCAUAGCCGACCUGAGAGGGUGAUCGGCCACAUUGGGACUGAGACACGGCCCAAACUCCUACGGGAGGCAGCAGUAGGGAAUCUUCGGCAAUGGACGAAAGUCUGACCGAGCAACGCCGCGUGAGUGAAGAAGGUUUUCGGAUCGUAAAACUCUGUUGUUAGAGAAGAACAAGGAUGAGAGUAAAAUGUUCAUCCCUUGACGGUAUCUAACCAGAAAGCCACGGCUAACUACGUGCCAGCAGC